rnacentral:misc_RNA from 1 species
AGCAGCCGCGGUAAUUCCAGCUCCAAUAGCGUAUAUUAAAGUUGUUGCAGUUAAAAAGCUCGUAGUUGAAUUUCGGGGUUAGCAGGUCGGUCGUGCCAUUGGUAUGAACUGGUCUCGCUGAUCCCUCCCUCUUGACGAACUGUGAUGCCAUUAAUUUGGUGUCGCAGGGAAUCAGGACUGUUACUUUGAAAAAUUAGAGUGUUUAAAGCAGGCUCACGCUUGAAUACAUUAGCAUGGAAUAAUGAAAUAGGACGUUUGAUCCUAUUUUGUUGGCUUCUAGGAUUGACGUAAUGAUUAAUAGGGAUAGUUGGGGGCAUUAGUAUUCAAUUGUCAGAGGUGAAAUUCUUGGAUUUAUUGAAGACUAACUACUGCGAAAGCAUUUGCCAAGGAUGUUUUCAUUAAUCAAGAACGAAAGUUAGGGGAUCGAAGACGAUCAGAUACCGUCGUAGUCUUAACCAUAAACUAUGCCGACUAGGGAUCGGAUGAUGUUAAUUUUUUAAUGACUU